CAGCCGCCGCGGUAAAACUAGCAGUUCGAGUGGUAGCCACGAUUAUUGGGCUUAAAGCGUCCGUAGCCGGUCUAGUAAGUUCUCUGUGAAAUCUUUGGGCUUAACUCAAGGGCUUGCAGAGAAUACUGUUAGGCUAGGAGUUGGGAGAAGUUGAGGGAACUAAUAGGGUAGCGGCGAAAUGCUAUAAUCCUAGUAGGACCACCAAUGGCGAAGGCACUCAACUAGAACAAGCUCGACGGUAAGGGACGAGAGCUAGGGGAGCAAACCGGAUUAGAUACCCGGGUAGUCCUAGCCGUAAACGAUGUGGACUGAGUGUUUCCUGAACUUCGGGUUCGGGAUGUGCUGAAGGGAAACCGUUAAGUCCACCGCCUGGGGAGCACGGUCGCAAGUCUGAAACUUAAAGGAAUUGGCGGGGGAGCAC
rnacentral:rRNA from 1 species